CUUUUUUAUUGUCUUAUUUUAAUUCUUUAACAUUUGUUAUUAUUUUAUAAAGUUCCUAAAGAUCAUCUUAGUACUCUCAACCCGUAACCGCAAAUAGAAUAGCAGCAAUCUUAAGCAUGGACUUAAGUCAACUGAAUCAAACCUGUCUUGCAGAAGGUGAUUUUGAGCAGCCGAUUGUCAAACUGCAUGAAUUGCCGAUAGGCGUUCCGUUUAAAAUUACUAGAGCCAAAAUUGUUAAUACAAAAUUUGGCAAUUCCGUGUUGCUGCAAUUAGAAAAUUCCGUAGUAUUUCUUCCUACUCGCGUGACAGAAGCUUUCCGUCCGAGACUAGAACACUUUGCGUCGGGGCAGUACAAACUGGUCUACGAGGGAUCCAAAGAUAUUGGAAAGCCCAACUCUUUAAAGAAAUUCAAAAUAAUUCAAAAUUAAUCAACAUAUUAUACAGGAUUAUGGUCAAACAACUUACAUUAGAAAGCCUUUGUAUUAUAACAAUUUGCGAAAAUAUUAGGUGUAGUGCUGAUUUUUUGCUUGAGUCACCUUUGCCUUGGAAACUAACGAUACUAAUAUUUAAAUAUUAUUCGAAAUAUAGAUGGAGGUACCUUAAACAACUAGCGCUCCAGUCUGAUGGCAAUUCUUUAUUAAAUUUAGAAUUCAUUCUGUUGAAUAAGAGAUUUGGAUCGUCUUACAGAAAUAGCAUUUUGGCAACUCCAACCAUUGAUUUUGACGGAGAAUCCGCUUACUGUUUAUGGGUCAGUUAUUACAGGAUAAAAUAUUCGGAAAUUUUAGUUUGUAAAUCUUGUCACUUUAUAUUUCAAGUAGUUAAAAAAUUUAAAAAGAAAAAUUUUAGACUUUUAUUGGAUCACUAUCAUUUACAGCUGGAUAUAAAUAAUUUGAAUGAUGUAUAUCACGAUAAACAAUUUUGGUGUCAAAGCUGCUUUGAAGAAGUUUUGUUCACUGUAGAAACUGAAGAUGAAUGUAAU